GGCGGCGGCGUCUACCCCCAGCUCCUCCUCCCUCCUCCUCCGUCUCCUCCUCUCUCUCUCCAUCUGCUGUGGUUAUGGCCCGUCGCUGGAGCACAAAAGAGUCUCCGCGGUGGAGGUCUGCGUUGCUCUUGCUUUUCCUCGCUGGGGUGUACGCUUGUGGAGAGACUCCAGAGCAAAUUCGAGCACCAAGUGGCAUAAUCACAAGCCCAGGCUGGCCUUCUGAAUAUCCUGCAAAAAUCAACUGUAGCUGGUUCAUAAGGGCAAACCCAGGCGAAAUCAUUACUAUAAGGUAAUCUACCUUUCUGUAUUACUAUAUAAUUUAUUACAAAACAUAAAUUCCAUUUUUCAUUUAUUAUUACUUAACAUGCAGUAAUAUAAAAAGAAGGCUUUUCAGGAGAUGUAAUAAAGAACAGCUAUUGGUGUCAUCUUAAGAGUAAGAAUAACAGCCCAUCUGGUAUGUGUUUUGAGUAUUUUCUAAGGGUGGUAAUGUAUUUGCAUUGAAUCAUCUAUAUUAUUCUAAGCUACUUUUUAACAAAAGAUAGACAUUUGCAAAAUAGCCUAUUAGGGUCAAGACUAACCUUUGGCAGUGGAACAAACAAAUAAACAAAACUCAUUAAUUCACUUGGAUAUCUAGCUCUUAACCUUUGUCUCAUUAGUAGAGCCUUCUACCUAAAUGAGUUAAAACACGAUUUGUCAUGCAUGUCUGUAUAUGUGUAUGUAUGUAUAAAACUUGAAACAAACUGAUAAUGGAGAAAUACUAUAUCUAGAAAAAUCUUUUUUUAUAACUUCGAAACAAAAGAACAUUUGUUAAGAAUACAAAUGAAAGGCAUUCCUAGGGGAAAUAGCUGUAAGUUUAAGAUUCUAAGAAUGAAUGUGACAUAUAAAUAAGGAAGGUUAAGAUUAAAUUUUAAAACAUUUAGCAAAUUACUUGCAGAGAAAAACAGUACAGGAAUAAGAUUGUAAAGAAUAUAUUUAGUAGAACUAGAUAUUGCUUGCUUAGGAAAAUUCUAUCAAGGCCAUUAGGAAAAAAAUAUUUACCUACAGGGGAAAAAAAAAUAGUGUGCCUGAAUGAAGAACUGCAGUUGGAACAAAACACAAAUAAGAAUGUCAUUUCCAUCACAGAGACAGUGUAGCACAAAGGCACCUUCAACAUGUUUUCAUGUGUAACAUUGUAUGGGUAGGAGGCAUAGAAUUUUAGAUUUAGAGGAGACUUUGGAGAUCAUAAACUCAAAUUUCUUCAUUUUAUGUUUUUAAAAUAAGACCUAUACAUUUAGCUUACUUUCCCAUCUUUUUUCAUCUUCCUUUUUUGUAUUUAUUAACUAGUGAGGAAACCAAUCUCUCUUGAGAAGCACAACUGUCAUCUAUCUCCUUUUUUUGGUGGAAACCACAAACAAGGGCCAUAGUUUGUUUUCCUUUUAUUUUCCUCUACCCUACAUUACCUCUUCUGGAACCCCGGAGCUUGGCACAUACAAAAGCUGUUGUUCUCCUCCUCCAUGCAGUGUUUUUCUCUUGCCUGAUUGAGUGGUAGAAUGCACCAUUAAGGUUAUCUUUCUGUAACAGUGUCAGUGUUUAAAUGUAAAUAAUAUACCUAUUUUCUGUUACUUGUAGUACGACUAAGUAUGUUUACAAAAUAACAUUUUUACCACAUAUUGGGAGUUUUUUAGCAUAAAACUAGAAUUUAUAGAGACCUUCACCUUUUAACCUAAAAAUUAAACUUACAGCUUAUAGCUCAGUUUUGUAAAACUUGAAAAUCUUACCAGCACAGAAGAGAUUACAUGAAAUACUGCCAUCUGGUUUUGAUAAUGUAUUGCAUCCUUGAGAUUUCAUGAAGUAAGAUACACUGAAAACCAAGCACGAUACUGAAAUGCAGAAUAAAAUUGAAGUGAGCCCUACAGCUAAAGGAAAAUUUCCUGAAUUCUAGAAGGGAGCAAUGAAUUUCGAUGUAUACAGAUCAGAAGGUGAUUUUAGUAAUUGUUCAGAUUCUUUACUGAAGUCAUUAUCAUGGUAAUACCAUAACUUUAAAAAGAUAACACACAUGCAUAUACACAAAGACAAGUUUUACAUAUGAUUAUCAUUGCAUAAUCUUAAAUGAUUCAAAAGAAUCAUAUGCAUAAUUAAAUGUAGCUUUUUUAGACAUACAAAUCAGUAUUAGGAAAUAUUAAAUUAACUUACCAUGUUAACAAGUCAAAAGAAAAAGUAUAUGAUUAUCUAGUGUACAUAGAUGCAUUAAAGCAUCUUGGUAAAAAAGAAAAUCAGCAUUCAUUCCUGAAUUUAAAAUAAAAAUUUUAAAUUCUUAGUAAAAUGGAAUUAGAAACAUGAUUUUUUUAGAUCUGGAUAGAAGAGGGAAACUAAAGUUAUGGAGUAAAAACAAACAAUACUGAGAGCUAUCUGUAUAAAACUUGCUUAAGAUGGUGAAAUAAAGGCAUUUUUACUUCAUUCCUCUCCCUUGGAACCCACUAUAAUCAACAAAGGCCACCUUAUCCAUGGAGAAGAGAGGAUUGAAUACCAGCACCCUGCUUGAAGCCAAGGACUAGGGACAGGCAAUUUUGCUCCAGACAGGAGGCUGAAAAAUCUUCCACCAACCACAGCCUGAAUUUAUAUGGGGCUGAGAGCUUAGAGAGCUGAGAGGGCAUAACCUAACAAACAUGAAUAACUAUGUCACCUGCUGACUCCAUGACAGGAUCUUUAAUACUCUGAACCAUCAUUUAAGACUUGUUCUGGAAUGUAGACCCAAGUAGGGGAACAUAGAAGAAGAGAGGGUUAAAAAAAAAGAGAAAACCAAAAAACUUCCAUAAAAUAAACCUGUAAACCAGAAUUCCAGAAUGUGUGAAAAAAUUGAAUGCUGAGAAAAACAGCCAAACAAAAUUAAGUUGGAACUCAAAUUUACUCCAGGCAUUUUAAGAUGUAUUCUGUCAGGGAUUAUUUCUUAACUUUCUUUAUGCCACGGACACCUAGUAUUCUGGUAAAACCUAUGUAUUCUUUCCCAGAAUAAUGUGUUUAAAUUCAUUUAAAAAAAUACAUAGCAUUACAAAGGGAACCAAUUAUGUUUAAAGUACAGCUAUCAGAUAUUUUUUAAUAUUUGUAAUGUAAUAUAUGCUUAUUUAUUAACACAUUAGCAAAAUCAAGUGGUUAAUUUCGAAGAAAAAAUUUUAAGUGUAAAUAGUAUUUUUAGAUAUCUGUAAAAACUGAAAUGUAACAUAAAAAUCUCUCUAAUUUUGAAUAGUUGUGGAGUGGCCAGUGCUAUAAAUACUGUCAUGGUUUGUUGUUUAUAAGUGUAGGAAAUGCUAAAUUUUAGUAAAAGAUUGUGAAAAUAAAGCAGUAAAUGGUUUCUACCCUAUUUGUGAUUUUUGAGGGGACAGGAGAAACACCGAAUACUCUUACUUGGACUUUGUUAGAAAAAAAGUGUGUUUCAGCAUGUCAAUUAAAAUAUCAAAAGGUAGCCACUGAUUAAAAAUAGAAGUAAUAUUGAGCAGUUAACAGAGGAAAAGGAACUUUAAACAUAUAUUCAAAAAAAGACAGGAGGCUAGAUGUGGUGGCUCACGCCUGUAAUCCCAGCACUUUGGGAGGCCGAGGCGGGCAGAUCACUUGAGGUCAGGAGUUUGAGACCAGCCUGGCCAACAUAGCGAAACCUCGUCUCUACUAAAAAUACAAAAAUUAGCUGGGCAUGGUAGCACACGCCUAUAAUCCUAGCUACUCAGGAGGCUGAGGCAUGAGAAUUGCUUGAACCCUGGAGGUGGAGGUUACAGAGCCGAGAUCGUGCCACUGUGCUCUAGCCUAGGCAACAGAGUGAAACCCUGUCUCAAAAAAACAAAAAAAAAAAAAAAAAAGGAAAGGAGGAAAAUGAGAACUCUCUCCCAAGUAGAAAGGAUGUAACACAUCUAAAACAAAACUAAUAAAUAAUGUCUAACAACAAGGAGAUGGGCCAGACGCUGUGGCUUGUGCCUGUAAUCCUAGCAUUUUGGAAGGCCAAGGUAGGCUCAGGAAUUCGAGACCGGCCUGGGCAACGUAGUGAAACCCUGUCUCUACAAAAAAUACAAAAAACUAGCUGGGCGUGAUGGCACGUUGCCUAUGGUCCCAGCUACUCAGGAGGCUGAGGUGGGAGGAUCACCUGAGCCCAGGAGGUUGAGGCUGCAGUGAGCCAUGAAUGCACCACUGCACUCCAGCCUGGGUGGAAGAAUGAGACCUUGUCUCAAAAAUAAACAAAAACAAAACAAGGAGAUAGAAAAGGUUAGUUUUGGAGCUACUCAUCAAGAGAAAGCUAGUGUAGGAAGAUUAACAUCCAUUGUAAUUGAGCUUAAGGCACAAAAUACUAGUAACAAUUGGAGUAUUCUACCAGGAAAAUAAAACAGCAGUAAAUUUCAUGUACUUAAUUACAUGGCUUAAAAUACAUGCAAAGCAAAAUGUGGAGAAUUGCCCAGCAAAUUUGACCAAUCCACAAUUGCAGUGGGAGAUUUUUAACACACCUUUAAUACUUAUUUCAACAAAGAAUACACAUUCUUUUCAAAAACGUGGAACAUUUAUAAAAACUGAUUAUGUUUCAGAUCACAAAGGAACUCAUAAUACAUUUCAAAGACUGUACAUCAUUCAGAUUGUGUUUUCUUACCACAAUGCAAUUAAAAUAAAGGAAAAAAAAUAAACCUGUAUGUUUAGAAAUAUAUUCCUAAAUAACUCCUGAAUUAAAGAGGAGAUCACAAUGGGACCAAAUAUUUUUUAAAUAACCAUAGUGAAAGUAAUACAUAUUGAAACUGUUAGAAUACAUUGAAAGAGUACUUAGAAAAGUUUACAACUUUAAUGCAUUGAUUUAAAAAUUAGAAAAUAAAUAAGCUCAGCAUUUAACUCAAGAGUUAAGGAAAAGAAUUAUAGGGUAAAUUUUAAAGUAGAAGUAAAGACCAGGAAAAUAAGCAAUAAAAUUCAAUAAAACAAAAAGCUGACUUUCUGAAAAACUCAGGAAAAUAGAUAAAACUCAAAGCAAAACUGAAGAAAAA
rnacentral:sRNA from 1 species